UGGGGAAUAUUGGACAAUGGGGGGAACCCUGAUCCAGCCAUGCCGCGUGUGUGAAGAAGGCCUUAUGGUUGUAAAGCACUUUAAGCGAGGAGGAGGCUCCCGUAGCUAAUAUCUACGGAGAGUGGACGUUACUCGCAGAAUAAGCACCGGCUAACUCUGUGCCAGCAGCCGCGGUAAUACAGAGGGUGCGAGCGUUAAUCGGAUUUACUGGGCGUAAAGCGUGCGUAGGCGGCUUUUUAAGUCGGAUGUGAAAUCCCCGAGCUUAACGGGGAGGUUGGUGGGGAGGUGGUGAAGGUAGAGGAUGAGAGAGGAUGGGAGAAAGGGAAGAGGCGGGGUGAUGUGAGUGCAGAGAGGGACGAAUAGGGAGGGGGAAGGGAGGAAUCCGG
rnacentral:rRNA from 1 species